rnacentral:rRNA from 1 species
CACUCCUGCGGGAGGCAGCAGUGGGGAAUUUUGGACAAUGGGGGCAACCCUGAUCCAGCAAUGCCGCGUGAGUGAAGAAGGCCUUCGGGUUGUAAAGCUCUUUUGUCAGGGAAGAAACGGUGGUGGCGAAUAACUACUACUAAUGACGGUACCUGAAGAAUAAGCACCGGCUAACUACGUGCCAGCAGCCGCGGUAAUACGUAGGGUGCAAGCGUUAAUCGGCAUUACUGGGCGUAAAGCGUGCGCAGGCGGUUGUGUAAGUCAGAUGUGAAAUCCCCGGGCUCAACCUGGGAAUUGCAUUUGAGACUGCACGGCUAGAGUGUGUCAGAGGGGGGUAGAAUUCCACGUGUAGCAGUGAAAUGCGUAGAUAUGUGGAGGAAUACCGAUGGCGAAGGCAGCCCCCUGGGAUAACACUGACGCUCAUGCACGAAAGCGUGGGGAGCAAACAGGAUUAGAUACCCUAGUAGUCCC